GACGAACGCUGGCGGCGUGCCUAAUACAUGCAAGUAGAACGCAGUUGCGAACGGGUGAGUAACGCGUAGGUAACUGCCUCAUAGCGGGGGAUAACUAUUGGAAACGAUAGCUAAUACCGCAUACUGUGCGAUGGACCUGCGUUGUAUUAUCUAGUUGGUGAGGUAAAGGCUCACCAAGGCGACGAUACAUAGCCGACCUGAGAGGGUGAUCGGCCAAAAUGGGACUAAGACCCGGCCCAGACUACUACGGGGGGCAGCGGAAGAGAAGAUUCGGCAGUGGACGGAGGUCUGACCGAGCAACGCCGCGAGAAUGAAGAGGGUUUUCGGAUCGUAAAGCUAUGUUGUUAGAGAAGCGGUAACUAACCGGAAAGGGACGGCUAACUACGUGACAGCAGCCGCGGUAAUAC
rnacentral:rRNA from 1 species